UGGAACAAUGCUUGGAGUGUGUACCAAUGCACUCAAACACAUGAACAUCAGGACUUUCAACAUCUUCAACAUCAAUGAUACUAGAGUCAACAAAAUUUAUAUCCUCAAAGUCCUUGGCUAGCUCUAGUAUCACCCCUUAAACAUUGACAUCCUCAAAUUGUAGUUGUCUAGGUUAUUGGUGUUCUACUCUGACCUCCUCGAUUAUCACCUCAAAUUCACGCUCUUCUUGGCUACUAUCCCCCAUAUUAGCUUGUUGAGCAUUAACAACUCCAACCAGUUGACUCAAUUGAGCCUCCAAGUUUCAAAUAGCUACCUCUUGCCUCUCUAUUUGCAGUUGUUUCCCAUUAUUAUGUUCCAGGAGGCACUUUAAUAUAUCCUUGAUCUCCUUCAGGUAUGCAUCCCUAGCUUGUUUGUACCUAUUAACUUCACAAGAAAAGUUAGCACCAUCAUAGUAAGGGGUUGGGGAAAGAUAAAAAAUAUAUGCACAACUAUAAAAGUGAUAAUUUUUACCACCACACAUAUCACAUGCAUUCCACACAUAAGAUUGAGUUGGUGCACAUAACUCGUUCUCGAAAAUAUUUUGAUAAUUUUGCCAUGAGUGGUUUUCCUCACAAUAUGCAUAAGGAGGAUUAAAGUACAAUUACCAACAUCCAAACUCCCAUAUUUCCAGGAUGUCAUGUUUCUCAAAUUAACAAGUAAAAUAAAAAUAUAAAAAAAAAGCAAAAAUAAAAGUUCAAACUUGAAACCUAGCAAUAUAUACAGUUAUAACUACACUAUUAGUUCCCCGGCAACGGCGCCAAAAUUUGAUCACGCCCAACUCUAGUCCUAAAAAGGAUAAGCGGUCACUACAAAUAUAAUCCGGCCUAAAAAUCCGGAAUUGAAUCUCAUAGAGAACUAAGACUUAGCUAUAUUUGUUUAAUAUCACUAAGAAGACAUGUUUUAACAAUUUUAUAAAUUAUAAAGAUUGAGAUUUAUAUUUCUAACAAAUGCUACAAAGCGGUAAAAUUAUCAACUCACAAGACAAAAGGGUUAGAGACUAAAUUAAGGAAGUCUAGAGUUAUGAUUUUCCCAUCAGAAUACUUCUAGCUAUAUUCCCAAAACUUUUGUCAUUAUAUUCUCUAUUGAUCGUGAGCACUUUAGGUGCCAUAAUUCUCUCUCAUGCAACUACAACAAUUUAUUAGACAUAUUUUAUCGAACUACGCUAGUUGGCUUUAUUUAACCGCGCAUUAUGACCACGUCAAGGCUUUGUUAUUUCUAAACCUGUCUUUAUACCUGUUGUAUUGAUUUCUCAUAUACGUUAGGAGUAGUUGUUCAACAAUCACCUAAAUAUGUAUCCUUUCUCAAGAAAAAUAUAAUAAAUAGGCACAGUCAAGCUAUGGCCAUUCAAUCAACAAUAAUAAACACGUAGUAGAACAAGUAGAGAAAUCCAACGGCUCAUAUAUAAACACAUAAUAAGAAUUUAUCCUACCAUCAAAACCCUAGAUGAAAAAUUAGAUAUCUAUAAUUGUAUGUAAAAAUACAAUAUUAAAAUUCAUAAUCAACAAAGAAAAAAUAGGAAUAAGAAGGAAAAACUGGUAGAAGAAUUUCCCUCCCUGCUCCUAUUAUGUCGCUACCUCCUUAGGUCGAAUCUAUGUCCAAAAUCGGUCCCCCCCCCCCCAAAGUACAAUUUUUCCAUGUAUAUACCAAGUAGGUCGGGCCCAAAUAAUAAUACCUUCUCCUACGCAAAAAAAGACAAGUUUUCAGGCCUGGAUGUCCGCGGCCGUAGCCAGGGCGCGGCAUGGAUGCGGUAUUUGGCAAGUGUAUUGCCUCAGUCCACGUCAGUCUGCGGUCGCAAUUUUGACCUUGUUUUUUCACCCUAAAUUGUAUCCUUUUGAGUUAUCUUUCCAACCAUAAAUUGGGGAGCCCAAAUGGAGCUCUUAGUGAAAAGUUAUGUUCAUUUUACUGGACAGUGUGGAAUAUGCUUACUCGAUUCUUGUUUUGUUGCUCUAUCAUCCGUUGAUACCCGAACAAAAUCCCGGCUUGAUUUAUUGGACUUUUACUCAUAUUUCAAAGCUCUAAAUUACUUGAAUUUAUUUCAUAACAUCCACAUAGCUCAUAAUCACUCUUACAAGACAUAAAACAAGCCAUUAGUGCAAAACAUUAGUGAUUAAAGCACAAAUUCAACUAAAGUGCAGUAAAUUAGAGUGUAAUAAUCGACUAAAACACGUAAUUAUAGCCUAUUAUCACAUACUAGCUGAAAUAAUCAAAUCACCAAUGCUAAAGUCAUAUAAGGAAACAACUUCUCAUGAUAUAAAACCAAAUGGACAGAAACUCACACAUUUUUAAAGAAAAAGCUUCAAUAUUGUUGCAACUUCAGCAUACAAAUCAUAGCAAGAAGACAUAGAUAUAUGCCGUUGACAAGAAAGAACCAUUUGUAUUUAUCUUUAAACAUCAUCUACAAUCAUUGAACAUGGAAGAAAUGUAUGCCUUGGACAGCAACAGAAAAAUAACAAGUAGAAGAUGAAAGGAAAAUGGCUGAAAAACUUCAGAAGCAGGGAAACAACAGCAGUAAACCAACACAACUACAACAGUCCCCAGAUAAAACAGAAUUUUAAACCCAAAACCAAACAACUUAAAACCAGAAAUCUCAGCUAAAUAACCCAAGAAAGACCCAAAACAAACAACUUGUAAAAAUCAAGAAUAAGAAUUUUUGAAUGUUGUUCUAAAGUUUUAUUGACAUCUAAACUUUUUAAGAGAAAAAGGAAAAUUUUAUGAUGCACAAGAUUUUUAGAACGUUUUGGCAGAGAAUAAGGCUGAAUGUUUUGUGUGUGAGUGAGGAAAUGUUUCCAUUUUAUAGAAUGUACAAAAAGGCAUCAAAAUGCAUAUUCUAACCUAAUUUUUAACAAAAAAAUCAUAAUAGUACAACUAUGUUUUUACAAUUGUCUGUCCUUUUCCUUAUCCAAUAUCAGCAUUUUAAGCUAAGGACAAUGACAGUUGUGGAAAGUCUAAAAGGUUCUGAUUUUAGCCUAUGUGAAAAUCCAUUUUACCCCUUCAACUACUGCAUAUCUCAGCUAUGCCCUAUGUUCUAAUAAUUCAACUAAACCUUCAACUAAAUGAUUAAGUUGCCUAAUGACAUUGCAAUUCAUUAACCUAAAGUUUAAAUGGCAGUUCGGAGGCUCAGUCUUAAUCUUAACAUCAAUUAAACCUAGGUACACCAUGUAGGCGAUCAAAUCUUAACUCGAAAGCUAUUGAAAUCUAAUAGGCGUAGGCUAAGGGAACCACAAAUCAGAACUAAACUAUGUUCAGAAAAAUGAAAAUGGAUCUGGCUAAGACUAAGGAAAGCAAGAAUUGGCUAAAAUAGGCUAUUGAUUAACCUUUUAACAUAAUCCUUAACAAAACUUGCAAGAACAACCAACAUAAACAAGACAAACAGUAAGAAUCAAAAGUAAAAGGGGAAAUAGUGAUAGGUGAAUUAUAGGAAAACUAAACCUAAUCCUUUAAUCCAACAAUCUGGACCCAUGCAACAAUUAAAUCCUAGAACAACCAAAUAAAGAAGCUAAUAGACAUAAAAGAAGACCUAAUUUAGGAGAAUGAAAUUAAGCAAUUAACAGAAAAGGGGAAAAAACCAAAAUCAAAAGGAAAUUAAUGAAUCAAGAACAAAAACGUUACAAGAGGUACCUAAUGCUUAAUCUUCUAAUCACUGGAUCGACAUUGGACAUUGACCUAAGUUAUCGGGGUAUGAAUGAACUUUAGACAACCAUUAAUCAAUUGCUCUUAUCAAGGGCAAUGGAUUCAUGGGGGUCUUGGGUUUAAAAGCCCCAAAAUCUGCUAGAAAAUUGGAAGAUUAGGGUUCCAGAAACAUAGAUUUAAGAUUCCAGCAAAAUAAGCCCGAUCCGGAGGAGGCUAAUGGUGGUUUAGGGUGCAGAGAGGGCAAGGAUUAUAGGGUGUUAAUUUGGAACGAUUUGGAAUAUUUUGGGGGNNNNNNNNNNNNNNNNNNNNNNNNNNNNNNNNNNNNNNNNNNNNNNNNNNNNNNNNNNNNNNNNNNNNNNNNNNNNNNNNNNNNNNNNNNNNNNNNNNNNNNNNNNNNNNNNNNNNNNNNNNNNNNNNNNNNNNNNNNNNNNNNNNNNNNNNNNNNNNNNNNNNNNNNNNNNNNNNNNNNNNNNNNNNNNNNNNNNNNNNNNNNNNNNNNNNNNNNNNNNNNNNNNNNNNNNNNNNNNNNNNNNNNNNNNNNCUUCUCUUACUUUUUUUUAACAAACAUAAGGGGUUGGGGGGGUUGGGCAUGAAUCUCAGAUUUGAAAUUCAAGAUUCAUGGUGGUAAUUUGAAAGAAACGAAUUAGAGAUUUGGAACGAGAAGGGGAUGGAGGUUCUGUGGUGUUAAAUUAGUGGUAUUUGGGAUAUCGGAACCGCCGUGAGGAGAUUUUCUGCGGUUGUUUGAUGGCGGAGGUGGUGGAGAAUAUGAAGGCAACUAGGGUUUCUUAUUUGAGGGUAUGAGAGAGAGGAAAUAGUCUUAUGUUAAGGGUUUUGGGGGGUUGACCGAUUUUAGGAUAGUAAUAUAGUUAGUGGGAGGUGAGUUCCCAUUCGUUCGAUCAAACGAUAUCAACAUAUGUGUAUGGAAAGACGUCGUUUGGCUUCAGAUGGGGUUUGGACCGGGUAUGAAUGGUUUGGGCUUGGGUUUGAGAGGUGUUUGUGAUGGGUUUUUUGGCUUAAAAAUCGGCAACAAUUUCAAAAUUAAGCCCUUUUGAAUUUACCUCUUUAUUUUCCUUUUAUUUUCUUUGUCCUUCUUUUUUUUUAACUAAAAAUCUUUAAUUAAAAAACCUAAAUUAACCUAAAAUAUGAAAUUAAACUAAUUACCUAAUUAAAAAAAUCAUAAAAUCACUUAAUCCUAAAUUAAAAGUAAAAAAAUCAAUAAUCUAAAAAUAAAAAAGAAAAAAUUAAAAAAUGGACCCUUUUUGUGAUUUUCAUUUUUAAUAAAAAAAAUAAUUAAUUAAUUAGUCCUAAAAAUGUAUAGAGAAAUCCAAUUGAAAUGCAUGGUAUUUUUGGCAUUUUCAUGAUUUUAAUAAAAAUUAAACGUGCAGAAAAACGCAAACAAUUAAUAAGAAUUCUGCAAAAACUCAUAUAAAAUAGCAAAUAACUGGAAAAUUUUAUUUUUUUAGAUUUUAUUUGGAGUAAUACAUGUAGGGAAAAAUCACAUGCUCACAGUUACCCUUCUUUGAUCGAAGACAACGAAGGGUUUUUGGGCAAAGAUAAAAAUGAGCAUUUACGAAGAAUUCUUGCCUAUUUGAAACUCCAUGAGAAGUAACUUUGGAAAGAGUCUGACCGAACCUUGCUCCGGAGAUUGCCUACAUAUCCUUGGUUAUAAAGGAAUGGGGUCAAUGUAGUUUUGGAAGUUUUGAUAGCUGGGGCUAUCGGGAAAUUGUAAUUUCACUAUUGUUGCUGCUAUUUUUACUUGCUGAGCUCCUUAUUAUACUGAAAUAAAGAUGAAAAGCUAACUGCUAAACCUAUCAAUUGUGAGUUACAAGAUACAUAUCUAUAAACCUUCGAAAUCUUGAUCGGGAGUCUUGGUUAGUUCUUCCCACAAACUCUGACCUGAACCUUGAUAAUUGUUAAUUAUGGCUGCUGAUUCAUUCUUCUUCAGCUUUUCGGAUCGAGGCUGGACUUGGAAAGCUUGUGACAUCAAUCACGUCUUGAGCAGUCCAUAUCUUUUCAUUGUUUUCGCUCUUUGAGUUCAACUUCUUUCUUUAUUCUUCCUUCCUCUUCUUUUGGUCAUCUCAAACCAUGUGCCUCAUGGUAAAAACAUUUUCAAGCACCAAAGCAAACAAAAGAACGAAAUUUUCUGCCCUAGUUUUCACAAGAAAAAUUUCGUGAGUUAUUUGUAACAAAAUCUAAACUAUUUCUUUAUUGAAAGCAAUAAAAUUCGGAUAAAGUAUCCUUGGAAAAAGGAGAUUACGGAGUGGAGCACUAUGUGUAUAAUGAAAUCACCUAGGGAGUGGAGACCCUAUGUUGGAAAAGAGACCAGUGAAUGGAGACCCUAUAUCUAAACUAAAAUCAACUAGGAAGUGGAGACUCUAUAUUAGAAAAGCGACUAGGGAGUGGAGAUCCUAUGUCUAAAAUAAAAUAAACUAGGGAGUGGAGACCCAAUGUUGGAAAAGCGACUAGGGAGUGUAGAUCCUAUGUCUAAAAUAAAAUCAACUACAUAAUGGAGACCCAAUAUUGGUAAAGCGACUUGGGAGUGGAGACCCUAUGUCUAAAAUGACUUCAACUAGGGAGUGGACACCCCAUGUUGGAAAAGGACUAGGGAGUAGACCCUAUGUCUAAAAUAAAAUCAACUAGGGAGUAGAGACCCUAUGUUGGAAAAAUGACUAGGGAGUGGAGACCCUUUGUCUAAAAUAACUUCAACUAGGGAGUGGUGACCCUGCGUUGGAAAAGCGAUUAGGGAGUGGAGACCCUAUGUCUAAAAUAAAAUUAACUAGAGAGUGGAGAAACUAUGUUGGAAAAGCGAUUAGGGAGUGGUGACCCUAGGUCUUAAACAAAAUCAACUAGGGAGUGGAGACCCUAUGUUGGAAAAGCAACUAGGGAGUGGAGACCCUAUGUCUAAAAUUACUUCAACUAGGGAGUGGAGACCCGAUGUUGGAAAAGCGACUAGGGAGUGUUACACCUCCUUUUUACUUACACAUGGCUACCCCGAAGGAUGACACGUGUAUAGGAGUUUUUCCAAUUAAAGUGACUUCGAAAUGGGAUUAAUCUUUUAUUCAAGAGUCGCCACUUGGAAUAAGUUUGACUUUUGGUGUCUCAAGUCACCGAUUUAUUUAAAAUUCCAAAUCCAGGAUAUUUUGACUGCCCAAAGGAGUCUGCGAACCAGAAAUUCUAAGUAAGGAAUUCUGUUGACCCGAGGAAGCUAUUAGGGACCCUCGGUUCCCGUGGUUCUAGCAAGGUCGCUUAAACUCUUAUAAUUGGCUAACAAUUCUGAUUUUGUACAUGUUCCACCUAUAGUGUAAUUUUAAAUUUUAAACCGCUUUAACUUAAUUGAUUAAAGAAAGAUUGCAACACUAUACAAAUAUGUCUCGAAUCGCGUCACAUAAAUGCGCCCGCGAUCUUCGACAUAUUUUAACAUUGUUGAGAUUUUGGAUUUGGGUCACAUAAAUGCACAUCCGAAUUUACAAUUACGUAUCAUAAUUAGGUCAUGGGGACCGUACAAUAAUCACAAUAGUUUGAUUUAUUAGGCGCAUGCUUAAAGCAUUUUCAACGAAUGCUUCAAGUGUUGAUUGUUUCGUAUGCACUUGAAUUUAUUUGUAAAAAUCUAAAAGUUUAGGAAGUUUUUCGGAAGGAAAGAAGUGGAUUGAUUAUGUUAGGAGGAUCUAGUUUGUGAAUUGUCAUAAAAACAGGCUAACUCUAAAAUAGAUCAACAAUGUUAUUAUUGAUAUGGGCCUACCAUAAUUUCUGUUUUUUAGCCAAAAUUCUUUUACUCCAAAAUUAAACCCAUAAUCAAUAUGAAAGUCCAAACCUUUAACUUACUCCUUGCAACUUUCCCCAUAUAUUUAUAUUAGAUUAAAAUAUUCUUGCAAAAAAGAAAAAAACAAACUAAAAAUCUAAUCAACGUUUAAACAAAGAAAAAUCAAAAGAAACAGUGGCAUGAUUUCAUGUAAUUAUUAAAUAAGAUAUAAUAACAGUAAAAGAAAGAAGCAACAGUGGGACUCGAACUGAACAUCAAUUCAAACAAUAAUAGGCCUUCUUAAAUGCAUAAAGCUCUAUUUUUAACUUUAAACAAAGAUUCAGUAUAGAAAUGACAAAAUUAAGCAAUAGGAUAUCAUUUAAGCUCAUUCAACUGCUAAACAGAUUCAACAAAGAAAUUAAACAAAAGCGACAUGUAGAGUGAUAUCAAUCAAACGGGGAAUAGAUAAACAGAAGUAGACCUGAAUAGACUUGCGAGAAAAAGAAACGAACAUAAUUGGUGGAAUCCAACAAUCCACAGGAACGGUGACCUCCAAACGGACCUCACAUCUAUUGGGUUUGGAUGGUUCUUUCAAGCUACUUUUCGUGCCGGUUUGGGGUUGAUUAAGGUUUUUUUUAAGCUAGUUUCAAACUAAAAUUUGUGGAGAAUUUUACUUAUUUUUCAGUGAAGAAGCAGUUGAGUUUCUGCUGUUGUGAGGAAUUUCUCAGCUCACUUCCAUGGCUUAGGUAGCUUUGUUGAAAGAGAGAAAGAGCAUCAAUGGGCGUAGGAAAUGGAGCACAAUUUUUUGAGGGUGAGAAUGAAGAGAGACCCCCCUUUUGUGCUAGCUGCUC
rnacentral:lncRNA from 1 species